rnacentral:lncRNA from 10 species
GAUGGGGAAACUGAGGCCCAGGGUUUAUAGAAUCAAAAGGCUGGCACAUGGAAUUGGUGAGGAUCCUGCAGGUCCUCAGCAGGAUGCGAGGAGUGGCCUCCCAGGGACAGGAAGAGCCAAGAGCAGCAGGAGUACAGCAGUGUGAGAAAGAAAAUGCCGGUCAGACCAUGUGAGGUGGCUCACUGAGCACAGUACAGCCCCCGCAGCA